AUGGCGGCUAUUCUACAAGUGGUGGUGGUACUACUACUAAGAGUGCUCUGGAGGCUGCUCUUCUUGCUCGAGGGAGACUUUAGGCUCUGCUUGUGUUGCUGCUCCGUUCUUGUGAAGCCAGCCUCUCCUUUUAUAGUCGAGGGAGGCGUUAGGGAGCCUUCUCUUUUUUAUUCAUAUGGCAGAGCCUUCUGGAGCGAGGAUAAGGAUGUCUUCACGAGAACGGCUGGCAGCUUCUCGUUAUUUGCAUUCCGGCCUCCUCAGCUCCUCGUUACUUGCAUUGCAGCCUUCUCAGCUUCGUUACUCACAUUCUGUCUUGACUCAGACACCUGCCUUCUUCUGCGAUGUAUGCGGCCAAGCUCAAGCUUGGUCUUCUUAUCUUCUUUUUUGUGGAUGAUGCUUGCUUCUUGCAGAAAUAUUCACUUUUUUGAUACGGGUCUACCCCGCCCAUAUUAUUGA
rnacentral:rRNA from 1 species